GAAAAGAGUUUAAAAUUCCACAAAGGGAUGAAAGAAUCCUUGUGCUACUGCCUGCUCUUGGGCCCUUGGCAGCUGAAAUGAGCUGUCAUGGGCAGGUAGACUUCUUGAAGGUGGGAUAGGAAAGUGAUUCCUGCUCAGAGUCACCAUCUUCCUCCUGAGCAGGAGCAGACAGAGAGGACAACUCAUCCCUUCUGACCUCCAUCCGACUCCUUGGCUAGGCCUACCUCUCCCAGUCUGGGGGGUAAAGGAAAAACAUGACACCAUCAGGCCUCCUCCCUCCUCUUGAAUGCUCUUUUGGUCAUUUUCCUAAAGGUCUUGUCAUGCUUGUGUUUCAGAAGUAAGUGUAUAGUGCUCCAUAUUCCUCCAAAUUGUCUCGUUCAAGCUCUCAAUGACUCCUGCCCUGUAUGUUCUUUGAAGAUUCAUCCCUGCAUCACCAGUCUCUACCACAGGCCUGGCCCCAGUAA